GGUCGAAACUGCGAACGGCUCAUUAAAUCAGUCAUGGUUCAUUGGAUCGUACACUCCUACAUGGAUAACUGUGGUAAUUCUAGAGCUAAUACAUGCAACGCAAGCUCCGACCUCUUCGCCGGGGGAAGAGCGCUCUUAUUAGAUCAAGACCAACCGUGUGCUCGCACACGUCAAAAUUUUGGUGACUCUGGAUAACAUCUUAGCUGAUCGCAUGGCCGUCGAGCCGGCGACGCUUCUUUCAAAUGUCUGCCUUAUCAACUGUCGAUGGCAGGUGACCUGCCUGCCAUGGUGUUGACGGGUAACGGGGAAUCAGGGUUCGAUUCCGGAGAGGGAGCCUGAGAAACGGCUACCACAUCCAAGGAAGGCAGCAGGCGCGCAAAUUACCCACUCCUGACACGGGGAGGUAGUGACGAAAAAUAACGAUGCGGGACUCUUUGGAGGCCCCGUAAUCGGAAUGAGUGCACUUUAAAUCCUUGAACGAGGAUCUAUUGGAGGGCAAGUCUGGUGCCAGCAGCCGCGGUAAUUCCAGCUCCAAUAGCGUAUAUUAAAGUUGCUGCGUUUGAAACGCUCGUAGUUGGAUCUCGGGUGCGGGACGGUCGGUGUCGGCCACAGUAGCCGUCCACUGCCGUCGCCCUUUCGGCGUCUGGGUCAGCCCCGCGGGGCCGUUAACUCGGUGUUCGUGUGGUGCGGGCCUAGGCGUUUGGGAGGGCGAGUUCAUUCCCCACCUAUACCUCCCGGCAUCUCCUCGGGUGCUCUUGACUGAGUUGCCCGGGGCGGCCGGAACCGUUUACUUUGAGAAAACAGGAGUGCUCAAAGCAGGCAAUUCUCGUUGGCCACUGAACGAGUUGUGCAUGGAAUAAUGGAAUAGGACCUCGGUUCUGUUGUGUUGGUUUAUGGAAUGCCGAGGUAAUGAUUAAGAGGGACAGACGGGGGCAUUCGUAUUGCGUCGGGAGAGGUGAAAUUCUUGGAUCGCCGCAAGACGAACUACUGCGAAAGCAUUUGCCAAGAAUGUUUUCAUUAGUCAAGAACGAAAGUCAGAGGUUCGAAGACGAUCAGAUACCGUCGUAGUUCUGACCGUAAACGAUGCCGACCGGCGAUGCGCCGCGGUCGUAUCACAAUGA
rnacentral:rRNA from 1 species